UACGGGGGGGGCAAGCGUUGUUCGGAAUUACUGGGCGUAAAGGGCUCGUAGGCGGCCAACUAAGUCAGACGUGAAAUCCCUCGGCUUAACCGGGGAACUGCGUCUGAUACUGGAUGGCUUGAGUUUGGGAGAGGGAUGCGGAAUUCCAGGUGUAGCGGUGAAAUGCGUAGAUAUCUGAAGGAACAUCAGUGGCGAAAGCGACUUCCUGGACGAAUACUGACGCUCAUGUGCGAAAGCGUGGGGAGCAAACAGG
rnacentral:rRNA from 1 species